GAAACUAUGAUUCACUAUUGGCCCACCAAUGGCUCAUAUUAAAAUUUAGGCCCAAAUCGCCCGUCGUGUAACUUUCGCUAUGGUCUGUUACUGAACUUAAAUGGCUAUCUCUAAGUAGCUCCGCUUGAUCUUUUGUUUGUCGAGCGAUUUCGAAAGCUUUUCCUUAUCAGUUACCUUUAUCUACGGCGCCCAACCUUAAGAACCCAAAGGUGCCUUCUCUUUCUUUUGGCGUGCGUCUCUGAAGUUUGACAAUCUUGUUAUUGCUGUUGUGGUAGGUGGAGUUCAGAGUGAUCGUUUUUCGUCCAUUUGUUGAAAUCAAGGUAGAUGGAUAUGGAAUUUUGGAGGAACAGAAGAAGAACAGUUGGAAGAAUCAUGAUUUAUUAUUGAUGGGACAGAUCAGGGAUCAAUAGACUAUAUGAUGGUUUGGGCCCAGUUUCAUAGUGGGAGGACGCAGAAAUGGUUCAGGAAGAACUUUAAGUUAACAGACAAAUUAGCUAGCCUUACAUAUCAGUAAAUGGAAGGACAACUGAGGCUUUUCGUAGGUUGGAGAUGAUUGUAACUACUUCAAAAGGCAGCAGAAAUGAUAUUUUUCAAAGCUUGCAAUAGCCGGCGGCAGUGGGUUUUUUCGUGCUUCUUCCUACAGAUUACGGGGUGAUUUGGAUGCCACCGUACCCCCAGUUGAGCUCUAUGGAACAUUGUGCCAAAUUCAUUGAUGCAAUGUUUGGAUGAAAAUGUUGAGGCGUGAUAGCCUCUAGUUACCCACUGGAGAUAAAAGCUUCGGUAGAAAUUGAUACGUUACAUUUCCACCGCACCUUUUGUCUCAAUUUUGCCCAUAAUUUUUUUAAUUUCUUUCCUUUCUACUUUUAAAGUUGUAAAAGUUGUAGAGAUUUUCAUAUCAUUUAA